rnacentral:rRNA from 1 species
CUACGGGGCGCAGCAGUGAGGAAUAUUGCACAAUGGGGGGAACCCUGAUGCAGCAACGCCGCGUGGAGGAUGACGCAUUUCGGUGUGUAAACUCCUUUUAUAUGUCAAGAAAAUGACGGUAGCAUAUGAAUAAGCACCGGCUAACUCCGUGCCAGCAGCCGCGGUAAUACGGAGGGUGCAAGCGUUACUCGGAAUCACUGGGCGUAAGGGACGCGUAGGCGGGAUAUCAAGUCAGGUGUGAAAUCCUACAGCUUAACUGUAGAACUGCACUUGAAACUGGUAACCUAGAGGAUGGGAGGGGGAGAUGGAAUUAGUGGUGUAGGGGUAAAAUCCGUAGAUAUCACUAGGAAUACCUAAAGCGAAGGCGAUCUCCUGGAACAUAACUGACGCUAAGGCGUGAAAGCGUGGGGAGCAAACAGGAUUAGAUACCCCUGUAGUC